UUGCUUCUACAGCACGUAUACUAACAUGGAAACGAUACAGAGAUAAGCAAGGCCACUGUGCAAGGACGAUGCACCAAUUCAUGAAGCAUUCCAUAUAUUU
rnacentral:snRNA from 1 species